rnacentral:rRNA from 1 species
AUGAACGCUAGCGGGAGGCUUAACACAUGCAAGCCGAGGGGUAUAUAGUUUUCGGAUUAUAGAGACCGGCGCACGGGUGCGUAACGCGUAUGUAACUUGCCCUAUUCAAAGGGAUAGCCCAGGGAAACUUGGAUUAAUACCUUAUAAUACAGAGAGUGGCAUCACACUUUGUUGAAAGAUUUAUCGGAAUAGGAUAGACAUGCGUAUGAUUAGGUAGUUGGUAGAGUAACGGCCUACCAAGCCGAUGAUCAUUAGGGGGCCUGAGAGGGUGACCGGCCACGCUGGGACUGAGACACGGCCCAGACUCCUACGGGAGGCAGCAGUGGGGAAUAUUGCACAAUGGGCGCAAGCCUGAUGCAGCAACGCCGCGUGAGGGAUGACGGCCUUCGGGUUGUAAACCUCUUUUAGUAGGGAAGAAGCGAAAGUGACGGUACCUGCAGAAAAAGCACCGGCUAACUACGUGCCAGCAGCCGCGGUAAUACGUAGGGUGCAAGCGUUGUCCGGAAUUAUUGGGCGUAAAGAGCUCGUAGGCGGCUUGUCGCGUCUGCUGUGAAAUCCCGGGGCUCAACCCCGGGCCUGCAGUGGGUACGGGCAGGCUAGAGUGCGGUAGGGGAGAUUGGAAUUCCUGGUGUAGCGGUGGAAUGCGCAGAUAUCAGGAGGAACACCGAUGGCGAAGGCAGAUCUCUGGGCCGCUACUGACGCUGAGGAGCGAAAGCAUGGGGAGCGAACAGGAUUAGAUACCCUGGUAGUCCAUGCCGUAAACGUUGGGAACUAGAUGUAGGGCCUGUUCCACGGGUUCUGUGUCGUAGCUAACGCAUUAAGUUCCCCGCCUGGGGAGUACGGCCGCAAGGCUAAAACUCAAAGGAAUUGACGGGGGCCCGCACAAGCGGCGGAGCAUGCGGAUUAAUUCGAUGCAACGCGAAGAACCUUACCAAGGCUUGACAUGUACGAGAACGGGUCAGAAAUGAUCAACUCUUUGGACACUCGUAUACAGGUGGUGCAUGGUUGUCGUCAGCUCGUGUCGUGAGAUGUUCGGUUAAGUCCGGCAACGAGCGCAACCCUCGUCCUAUGUUGCCAGCACGUUAUGGUGGGAACUCAUGGGAUACUGCCGUGGUCAACACGGAGGAAGGUGGGGAUGACGUCAAAUCAUCAUGCCCCUUAUGUCUUGGGCUUCACGCAUGCUACAAUGGCCGGUACAAAGGGCUGCGAUACCGUAAGGUGGAGCGAAUCCCAAAAAGCCGGUCUCAGUUCGGAUUGGGGUCUGCAACUCGACCCCAUGAAGUCGGAGUCGCUAGUAAUCGCAGAUCAGCAACGCUGCGGUGAAUACGUUCCCGGGCCUUGCACACACCGC